UACGGAGGGUGCGAGCGUUAAUCGGAAUUACUGGGCGUGAAGCGCGCGUAGGUGGCUUGAUAAGCCGGUUGUGAAAGCCCCGGGCUCAACCUGGGAACGGCAUCCGGAACUGUCAAGCUAGAGUGCAGGAGAGGAAGGUAGAAUUCCCGGUGUAGCGUUGAAAUGCGUAGAGAUCGGGAGGAAUACCAGUGGCGAAGGCGGCCUUCUGGACUGACACUGACACUGAGGUGCGAAAGCGUGGGUAGCAAACAGG
rnacentral:rRNA from 1 species